rnacentral:ncRNA from 1 species
AAUUGAAAAAGGCAAACUCGUUGAAAGGCGAGGACGCAAAGCCACAAGUCUAAAGCAGGAGAGUGCUAUGACGGUUGGGUUGCCAGU